GAUGAACGCUGGCGGCGUGCCUAAUACAUGCAAGUCGAGCGAACAGACGAGGAGCUUGCUCCUCUGACGUUAGCGGCGGACGGGUGAGUAACACGUGGAUAACCUACCUAUAAGACUGGGAUAACUUCGGGAAACCGGAGCUAAUACCGGAUAAUAUAUUGAACCGCAUGGUUCAAUAGUGAAAGACGGUUUUGCUGUCACUUAUAGAUGGAUCCGCGCCGCAUUAGCUAGUUGGUAAGGUAACGGCUUACCAAGGCAACGAUGCGUAGCCGACCUGAGAGGGUGAUCGGCCACACUGGAACUGAGACACGGUCCAGACUCCUACGGGAGGCAGCAGUAGGGAAUCUUCCGCAAUGGGCGAAAGCCUGACGGAGCAACGCCGCGUGAGUGAUGAAGGUCUUCGGAUCGUAAAACUCUGUUAUUAGGGAAGAACAAAUGUGUAAGUAACUAUGCACGUCUUGACGGCACCUAAUCAGAAAGCCACGGCCAACUACGUG
rnacentral:rRNA from 1 species